GGCCCGCCUGCCCAGUGACUUAGUGUUCAACGGCCGCGGUAUUUUGACCGUGCGAAGGUAGCGCAAUAACUUGUCCUUUAAUUGGGGACUAGUAUGAAUGGCAUCACGAGGGCUUGACUGUCUCCUUUUUUAAGUUAAUGAAAUUGAUCUUCCCGUGCAAAAGCGGGAAUAUAAACAUAAGACGAGAAGACCCUAUGGAGCUUUAGACACUAAGACAGACCACGUCAAUUGUAUCCCCACACGGAAUUGAACUAAAAGGUACCUGCUCUGAUGUCUUUGGUUGGGGCGACCGCGGAGAAGAAAAAAACCUCCCCUCCGCGUGGAAUGGGAGCACAGAUCUGAUACUCCUACAACCAAGAGCCACGGCUCAAACUAACAGAAACCUCUGACCUUCAUGAUCCGGCAAAACGCCGAUCAUCGAACCGAGUUACCCUAGGGAUAACAGCGCAAUCCCCUUUCAGAGCCCAUAUCGACAAGGGGGUUUACGACCUCGAUGUUGGAUCAGGACAUCCUAAUGGUGCAGCCGCUAUUAAGGUUCGUUUGUUGCAACGA
rnacentral:rRNA from 1 species